GCCAGGCGUGGUGGCGCGUGCCUGUAAUCCCAGCUACUUUGGAGGCUGAGGCAGGAGAAUUGCUUGAACCCAGGAGGCGGAGGUUGCAGUGAGCAGAGAUCGCGCCAUUGCACUCCAGCCUGGGUGACGAAGCGAGACUCUGUCUCAA
rnacentral:sRNA from 1 species